AAGAUGUUAGAGAUAAGUGCAGUUUUAGGAUCCUUGGUUGCUUCAAGAUGUAACAAUGUGUGAGUGAGUUGUUUAUAAAGUCCAGGCUGUUCUUCCAGACUGAAGGAACUGGAGCUGCAGACGACUCUGUGGGAGGAGAGAGAGGAGAAGGUGGCGGAACAGCGGAGGCUACGGGAGCAGCAGGAGCAGAAGCAGAAGCCCCAGGUCAAGAGGGAAGCUGUGGUGAACUGGUGGAGAGCCCUUAAGGUGGAGGGGAGUAGGACCAAGGCCAAGCCUGAAGACACCCUGACCCAGCCCAGCCAGGUCCUCACUGAGACAGAGUCCAAGCUCCAACAGGCAGAGCACACCAUCACAAAGAUUAAGGAACAGGUAUGCCACCUUGAGGCGGCUCUGAGAACUGCCCAGGAGGGCGUAGCUGAGCACAGAAACAUUCAGGACAGGGUGAGAGUUCUUCACAACGACAAGGAGACCAACACGGUGAGAGAGGGACCUGGCUGGACUGGAGAGGAGGCAUCAAAGGAGCGUAAGGACGUGGCUGUGGCUACAGACCCUGUGGAGGACCCAGGUAGAUCAGAGAAGGUAGCAGGCCAGUUUGUGACCUCAGAGGGUCUGCUGGUGACCCUCAGGAGGAUGGAGGCCAUGGUCAGCAGUGCCUUGGAGGCAGCUGAGCUGGUUAGGGAGAGUCAGCGAAGGGUCAGCCAGGUCAAGGAGAGGAUGGAGAGCAUCACUCAGAAGAUGGAGGAAGCUCUGACCAGAGCAGGGGACACAGAGGGUCAGCUCAGUGCCCUGGAGGCCAGGGUCACAGCCAAACCUCAGGUCAGUUUGCAUAGUCUUUUCUGUGUAUUACAAGAAUAGUGAGCUCAAAUUAGCCCUGACAGUAAAAGUUUUCAUGAAUCUGCAUUUUGAAUAUGCAGCCCCACAUAUAUGCUCACACGUCUGCUUUUGCAAUGAUUACCAAUGAUCUACUAGGCUGUAUUUGUUUUCCUCCUGUAAAACUCUUAAAAGUUAUUUACAGCUGUUUCAUUUGCAUUUCCUCUCUCUCUUCUGUUCCGAAGUUGCCAGGUCCGAUAGGGCAGACAGCCCAGCCUGAUGUUGAAGCUAUAGGCAGAGACACACCCAGGAACCCCUCUCCUCCAGAGCCUGUGACCGAAAGCUACAGCAAGUCUCGAUGGCCCCUUAUAAGCGGUGCCAUUUAUUCACGAACUGGAGGAGGCAGCAACAGUGGCAGCAAGAGCUGUGACGAUUCAGAGCCACCCUGCACUGAUGACAACAAACCAAGCCAAGUCCAAUGUCCUGACUUUGUCCAAGACCAAAAGCACAACAGUACCAGCAGUGAUGGUCCUGCACCUGCAUUUUUAGGUUUCAUCCCAGUGUCAGAGACACAAACGCCCCCAGUGUCCCCAUCACAAGUCUUCCUCCAGUACGAGUGUGCACCUCCUCUUACCGUCCCACCGGAAACACCCCCUCAGUCUGCCUGUGUCAGUCAUGCUGCCGCUCACACUGAGGAGAAUGUAGCAGGGUUAGUGUUUAUAUUCUCUCUCUUUUACAAGAAGAGGAUAUUGCAUGUGUUUAGAUUAACAUCCCCCCACACUGAAGAGCUAGGCUAA
rnacentral:lncRNA from 8 species